AAUGUGUUUGAUUAGCCAAUUCCUUGCCUUUAAAAUUCCUUUCCAAGCUGCUGCAGAGUGGUAUGUUCUUGUUGAAAUUUCCCAGAUUGAUUCAUUUGAAAGAUACCUUGCAGAAACCUAAUGUGACCAUAAGGAACAUUUGUUUUGCAAAAGAUCCCACAAUUGCUGCACCGGACAUGCUUGAUUCCAAUCUCUAGUAUUUCUCAAGUUUAGCCCCCUUCAUCUUUUCGGGUUUGCAAAUGCUAUCCCAAUUUACCAUAUAUAUUGCCUUAUCAUUUGUGCCAUUCAGGAAGAAGUUCAUUAAUAACCGUUCAAUAUCUUGGAGAAGUCCAAAGAAAGAAGAAAUGCAUUACACCAAUAAAUAGAGUAGGAGUGCAACACCGAAACGGAUGAGUUCGAGUCGUCUUGCUUUUUGAUAGAAACCUAUUUUUCCAAGAAGAAAUUCUAUUCUUUAUUUUUUGCAAGAUAGGUCGACAAAGUGGGGUUUUGUGAAUGCCUGUGGAUAUGAGCGGGAGACCCAAAUAAGGAACUGGCAAGCUUCCCUCACUAACCCCCAAAGUUUGGGCAAUAAAGACAUUAUCCUCAACGUAAGGGCUCAUAUAUACUUUACUUUUCGCAUGAUUUAACUACAGAGGUGAAAUUCUUGGAUUUAUGAAAGACAAACCACUGCGAAAGCAUUUGCCAAGGAUGUUUUCAUUAAUCAAGAACGAAAGUUGGGGGCUUGAAGACGAUCAGAUACCGUCCUAGUCUCAACCAUAAACGAUCAUGACAGGGGAUCGGCGGAUGUUGUUUUAGGACUCGUAGGCACCUUAUGAGAAAUCAAAAUCUUUGGGUUCCGGGGAGAGUAUGGUCGCAAGGCUGAAACUUAAAGGAAUUGACAGAAGGGCACCACCAAGAGUGGAGGCUGCGGCUUAAUUUGACUCAACACGGGGAAACUUACCAGGUCCAGACAUAGCAAGGAUUGACAAAUUGAGAGCUCUUUCUUGAUUCUAUGGGUGGUGGUGCAUGGCCAUUCUUAGUUGGUGGAGUGAUUUGUCUGGUUAAUUCGGAUAACGAACGAGACCUCAGCCUGAUAACUAGCUACGUGGAGUCAUCCCUCCACGGCCAGCUUCUUAGAGGGACUAUGGCCAUUUAGGCCAUGGAAGUUUGAGGCAAUAACAGGUCAGUGAUGCACUUAGAUGUUCUGGGCCGCACGCACGCUACACUGAUGUAUUCAAAGAGUCUAUAGCCUUGGCCGACAGGCCCGGGUAAUCUUUGAAAAUUUCAUCGUGAUGGGGAUAGAUCAUUGCAAUUGUUGGUCUUCAACGAGGAAUUCCUAGUAAGCAUGAGUCAUCAGCUCGCGUUGACUACGUCCCUGCCCUUUGUACACACCGCCCGUCGCUCCUACCGAUUGAGGCAAUUGUUGAUCAUUGCAAUUGUUCAGUUCAAGGCGACGAGGGCGGUUCGCCACCAGCGACGUCGCGAGAAGUCCACUGAACCUUAUCAUUUAGAGGAAGGAGAAGUCGUAACAAGGUUUCCGUAGGUGAACCUGCGGAAG
rnacentral:rRNA from 1 species